AUUUUCUCCCACAUUACCGGUAUAAUAUACUAAGUUGUUGUCAUUGCCAAGAUCUAAAACUAGCAUAGCAUUCUGGUGUUUUCAGCUUUUUUUUCUCAUCUUUUCUUUCUUUUUAACAUGGAUUUUCAUUUCUUGUGCUUAAAAUGUUUCUGGGUUUUCAUUUUCUGUGGUGGUUGAUCUUGAAUCUUGACAUGCUUUAACAUUUUUCUCUGUUUCUUUCUCAACAGUGGUA
rnacentral:misc_RNA from 1 species